CACACCUGAGAGUUGACAAGGUGAUGGAGAAACUGGUUGAACUGACUGAAGCUGUGGAGAACAGACUGGCUGCAGGAGCAGUAACAUCAGCGACUCUGCAGCAGAUUCCUACAACCCAUCUCGGGAGGUAAAAAGGAUCCACAGGAGUCUGGAGGACGGGCACAAAUACAGAGGAAAUGAGAGGAGCAACAGAUACUUUGAGAAUCGAAGUUGUCAGAAGACAAAGUGGAAGAGGAUCAGAGGGCCAAAGUGCUCAACA